CAGCCGCCGCGGUAAUACAUAGGGUGCGAGCGUUAAUCGGAUUUACUGGGCGUAAAGCGUGCGUAGGCGGCUUCUUAAGUCGGAUGUGAAAUCCCUGAGCUUAACUUAGGAAUUGCAUUCGAUACUUGGAAGCUAGAGUAUGGGAGAGGAUGGUAGAAUUCCAGGUGUAGCGGUGAAAUGCGUAGAGAUCUGGAGGAAUACCGAUGGCGAAGGCAGCCAUCUGGCCUAAUACUGACGCUGAGGUACGAAAGCAUGGGGAGCAAACAGGAUUAGAUACCCCAGUAGUCCCUGUCUCUUAUAC
rnacentral:rRNA from 1 species